CAGGCCUAACACAUGCAAGUCGAACGAGAUCUUUCGGGGUCUAGUGGCGCACGGGUGCGUAACGCGUGGGAAUCUGCCCUUGGGUUCGGAAUAACAGCGAGAAAUUGCUGCUAAUACCGGAUAAUGACGUAAGUCCAAAGAUUUAUCGCCCAGGGAUGAGCCCGCGUAGGAUUAGCUAGUUGGUGGGGUAAAGGCCUACCAAGGCGACGAUCCUUAGCUGGUCUGAGAGGAUGAUCAGCCACACUGGGACUGAGACACGGCCCAGACUCCUACGGGAGGCAGCAGUGGGGAAUAUUGGACAAUGGGCGAAAGCCUGAUCCAGCAAUGCCGCGUGAGUGAUGAAGGCCUUAGGGUUGUAAAGCUCUUUUACCCGGGAUGAUAAUGACAGUAUCGGGAGAAUAAGCUCGGUCUAUCUUGGUGCCACCAGCCGCGGUCAUAAU
rnacentral:rRNA from 1 species